AUGUAACACUCCUGCACUGCGCUUCUGAGCGCACCGUCCGCGCCCACCUGACCGCUGCUCGCGACGUGUUGUUAGCC
rnacentral:sRNA from 2 species